GAGGUCUCGAGCAAAAUCAAACCCGGCUCUCAGAAUAGGUCUGCCAGAGUCUGAAACUGAAGCCCAAGUGUGCUGAUAAUCAUACAUACCCUCUGCAGGAACCGAAAGUAGUGCUUGUUUCAAUACUUGUAGAGGAACAAAUUGGGUUUUUCGGUAUCUUGGGGGCAUUAGAUUUCUGACACAUUCCGGCCUGAUAAUACUUUCAUGCAGCGUAACGCCAUGGCAGAGGCUUUGGAUUGCUGGGAUUAUGAGCUGUUGGAAGAGUCUUAAGGUUUCUGUGAGGUUCUUGGUGGAACACGCAAGGAUAUCAAUGUAGUGACCCAACUGCCCUCCAAGUUCGAUUCUGACAUAGAUACCAUUAAUAUUUAUCAAGAUGAGGUACUUCUCAAGACUGUAGGUUGCUCCAUGUUGGUGCUUCAACCCCAUGACUCUGUUGUGGAGAUGCAC
rnacentral:lncRNA from 1 species